UACGUAGGGUGCAAGCGUUGUCCGGAAUUAUUGGGCGUAAAGAGCUCGUAGGCGGUCUGUCGCGUCUGCUGUGAAAUCCCGGGGCUCAACCCCGGGCUUGCAGUGGAUACGGGCAGACUAGAGUUCGGUAGGGGAGACUGGAAUUCCUGGUGUAGCGGUGAAAUGCGCAGAUAUCAGGAGGAACACCGGUGGCGAAGGCGGGUCUCUGGGCCGUAACUGACGCUGAGGAGCGAAAGCGUGGGGAGCGAACAGG
rnacentral:rRNA from 1 species